rnacentral:rRNA from 1 species
AGAGUUUGAUCCUGGCUCAGGAUGAACGCUAGCGGCAGGCCUAACACAUGCAAGUCGAACGGUAAGGACCACUUCGGUGGUUACACGAGUGGCGCACGGGUGAGUAACGCGUAUGCAACCUACCCUUAACAGGGGGAUAGCCCGAAGAAAUUCGGAUUAAUACCCCAUAAUACUAUAAAUAAGCAUUUAUUAAUAGUAAAAACUCCGGUGGUUAAGGAUGGGCAUGCGUACCAUUAGAUAGUUGGUAAGGUAACGGCUUACCAAGUCUACGAUGGUUAGGGGGCCUGAGAGGGUGGUCCCCCACACUGGUACUGAGACACGGACCAGACUCCUACGGGAGGCAGCAGUGAGGAAUAUUGCGCAAUGGACGAAAGUCUGACGCAGCCAUGCCGCGUGCAGGAUGACGGCCCUACGGGUUGUAAACUGCUUUUAUACAGGAAGAAAACUUUCAACGUGUUGAGAGUUGACGGUACUGUAAGAAUAAGCAUCGGCUAACUCCGUGCCAGCAGCCGCGGUAAUACGGAGGAUGCAAGCGUUAUCCGGAUUUAUUGGGUUUAAAGGGUGCGUAGGCGGAAUAAUAAGUCAGUGGUGAAAUCCUGCAGCUUAACUGUAGAACUGCCAUUGAUACUGUUAUUCUUGAAUAUAGUUGAGGUAGGCGGAAUGUGUAAUGUAGCGGUGAAAUGCAUAGAUAUUACACAGAACACCGAUUGCGUAGGCAGCUUACUAAGCUAUUAUUGACGCUGAGGCACGAAAGCGUGGGGAUCGAACAGGAUUAGAUACCCUGGUAGUCCACGCUGUAAACGAUGACCACUAGCUGUUGGCGAUACACCGAUCAGCGGCAAAGCGAAAGCAUUAAGUGAUCCACCUGGGGAGUACGGUCGCAAGAUUGAAACUCAAAGGAAUUGACGGGGGCCCGCACAAGCGGAGGAACAUGUGGUUUAAUUCGAUGAUACGCGAGGAACCUUACCUGGGCUUAAAUGCAGGACGACGAACUGGGAAACCAGUUUUCUCUUCGGAGCGGACUGCAAGGUGCUGCAUGGUUGUCGUCAGCUCGUGCCGUGAGGUGUCGGGUUAAGUCCCAUAACGAGCGCAACCCCUAUCGUUAGUUGCCAGCGGAUCAUGCCGGGGACUCUAACGAAACUGCCGGUGUAAACCGAGAGGAAGGUGGGGAUGACGUCAAAUCAGCACGGCCCUUAUGUCCAGGGCUACACACGUGUUACAAUGGUCGGUACAGAGGGUAGCUACUAUGUAAAUAGAUGCCAAUCUCGAAAAC